rnacentral:lncRNA from 1 species
CGCCUGGCUUUUCGUUUUCCUUGUUCUCCGCGGGCCGUGGGGGGCUCCGCGCCGCGGCUGUUAGUCAUGUCGGAUUCUGGAAGUUACAGUCAGUCUGGGGGUGAGCAGCAAAGUUAUUCUUCCUAUGGAAAUCAAGGCAGUCAAGGCUAUGGACAGACACAACAAAGCUAUUCUGGCUAUGGGCAAACGACUGAUUCUUCAUAUGGACAAAACUAUGGUGGUUACUCCGGUUAUGGACAAAAUCAAUCAGGUUAUUCACAGUCCUAUGGUAGUUAUGAGAAUCAAAAGCAGAGUUCCUAUGGCCAGCAGUCAUAUAAUAACCAGGGACAACAAAACACGGAAUCAUCAGGAGGUCAAGGUGGAAGAGCACCUUCAUAUGGCCAGUCAGACUAUGGUCAGCAAGAUUCUUAUGACCAGCAGUCAGGUUAUGAUCAGCACCAAGGCUCAUAUGAUGAGCAGUCCAAUUAUCAGCAGCAUGAUUCCUAUAAUCAAAACCAGCAGUCUUACCAUCCACAAAGGGAAAACUAUAGCCACCACACACAAGAUGACCGUCGUGAUAUGAGUAGGUAUGGAGAAGAUAAUAGAGGAUAUGGCGGGUCACAGGGAGGAGGUAGAGGGCGUGGGGGAUAUGACAAGGAUGGAAGAGGUCCUAUGACAGGAUCAAGUGGUGGUGACCGCGGUGGCUUCAAAAAUUUUGGUGGUCACAGGGAUUAUGGACCCAGACCAGAUGCUGAUUCAGAGUCUGAUAAUUCAGAUAACAACACAAUCUUUGUGCAAGGACUUGGGGAGGGUGUGUCUACAGAUCAAGUGGGAGAGUUCUUUAAGCAAAUAGGAAUUAUCAAGACUAACAAAAAGACUGGAAAACCAAUGAUAAAUCUUUACACAGACAAAGACACAGGAAAGCCAAAAGGAGAAGCAACAGUGUCAUUUGAUGACCCUCCAUCAGCUAAGGCAGCCAUUGAUUGGUUUGAUGGAAAAGAAUUCCAUGGAAACAUCAUUAAAGUGUCAUUUGCCACGAGAAGGCCUGAAUUCAUGAGAGGCGGUGGAAGUGGAGGUGGACGGCGAGGUCGUGGAGGAUAUAGAGGCCGUGGAGGUUUUCAGGGGCGAGGUGGAGACCCCAAAAAUGGGGACUGGGUUUGCCCCAAUCCGUCAUGUGGGAAUAUGAAUUUUGCUCGAAGGAAUUCCUGUAAUCAGUGCAAUGAGCCAAGACCAGAGGACUCUCGUCCCUCAGGGGGAGAUUUCCGGGGGAGAGGCUACGGUGGAGAAAGGGGCUUCAGAGGUCGUGGGGGCAGAGGUGGAGACCGAGGUGGCUAUGGUGCAGACAGGAGUGGGGGUGGUUAUGGUGGAGAUAGGAGUGGUGGUAGCUAUGGUGCAGACAGAAGUGGGGGUGGUUAUGGUGGAGACAGGAGUGGAGGUGGCUAUGGUCAGAGGUGGCUAUGGAGGAGACAGAGGUGGCUAUGGAGGAGAUCGAGGAGGAUAUGGAGGAGAUCGAGGAGGAUACGGAGGAGACCGGCAGCCGGGGGGCCUAUGGAGGAGACCGUGGUGGUGGCAGUGGAGGCUAUGGUGGAGACCGAAGUGGUGGCUACGGAGGAGACCGAGGUGGGGGUUAUGGAGGCGACAGAGGUGGCUAUGGAGGAGACCGAGGUGGCUAUGGAGGCAAAAUGGGAGGAAGAAAUGACUACAGAAAUGAUCAGCGCAACCGACCGUACUGAUGACUGUUUCCAAUACUCCCUUGUCUCUGACAUGAUCCAUGGGGAAUUGUCAGAGUGUGCCUGCUGCUUUCCUCAUGGCCUCUUGAGUAGUGAAAUUGACAUUUGGGUUUUUAUUUGGGUGGGAGGGCUGGGGACAGUUUUCCUUUAGAAAUGUCCAUUAAAAUUUUCCCUUUUAGUUUCCCACCUUCUCUUUCCCAACCCUUAAAGCUAAAUGCGUUGUAAAAUAUUGCCAAAAUGGAAAGUGUUUUGUAAUACUGCAAUAAAAGCUGCUUGUUUUUUGUGGA